GUCGAGAUCAACUGCCACAGUGCCCCCCUCGCUCUCCGCCGUCCGCCGCGGAUCUGAUCACCUACCGUUGGAUUCGACUCCGCCGUCACGUCACCAAAGUGAGGUUCAGUUCUGCUGGGUCUCGUCUUCUUAUCGGCUGCCGCAGAUGCCGGAAAUUUAGGGGUUCCCCGUGCCGGGAGCGUCUUUUCAGCCGGCAAUGGGACCCGGUGGCCGAAGCAUGGGAAGGCACACUUCUCUGGAGGAUCCCACGGUAACCGAACACAGCCAAGGAAGUAAGGCGCGCCGCCGACGGAGGGACUCUUCCUACGAUGAGUCGUCGAGGCUAGUUGCCGUCAAUAGCGACAACGGUCCAAAUGGUUCCGAGGUAAAAUUCAUCAAGAUUGCUGAAUCUAAUAAUGAAACUCUGUAUGCAAAAUCUGAGACCGAAGCAAGAAUGGGAAUUGGUAGCAAGCUAGAUGGUCAAAAUUUGCAGCCGCUGGAGCCACCAAAGCAAGACUAUAUUCAUGUUAGAGCAAGAAGGGGUCAAGCAACAGAUAGUCACAGCCUUGCAGAAAGGGCUAGGCGAGAAAAGAUCAGUGAGAGAAUGAAGAUUCUCCAAGAUCUCAUUCCUGGAUGUAACAAGGUAAUUGGUAAGGCAUCAGUUCUGGAUGAGAUAAUAAAUUAUAUCCAGGCCUUACAGCACCAGGUUGAGUUUCUAUCAAUGAAGUUAGAGGCUGUUAAUUCCCUGAUGAACACCAGCACUGAAUUAUUCCCUCCUAAAGAUGCUUAUGACACUAUGACAAGUAACGCUUCAGUUCGCGAGCAACAAUGGGGUAUGAACACUGCUCGGGGUCACACUGGCUUCAAAUGCAGCUUGGAGGUGCCUUUGAAAGAGUCGACGUGAUUGCAACUGACACAUCUUCCAUGAAGAAUAAAUAACAAGAGCAUGUAGGAUAGACUUAGGGAGCCUCACCUGUUCAGGACCUCACCUUUCAAUCAGUGCCCCGACUUAUGCGUAAGAUUUUGGGUUGCUACCCUUCUUACUUAGCCCGCACAGGUCUUAUAUGAUUUUGAUUAUUCCUGAUACAGUUACUGUUCACCUGUCGGUUACUAAGACAAGGACUGAGGAAAAGAACCAAGACGAGAGAGACAGAAUGUUUUUGAGUCUAAACUUAGAUUGUCAUUAUAAAACAAGUAACAAGCAUAGAUCUUAUUUAGUAGAGAA